rnacentral:rRNA from 1 species
CAAUGGCUGGUCCAGCUCGUGUCGUGAGAUGUUGGGUUAAGUCCCGCAACGAGCGCAACCCUUUUCCUUAUUUGCCAGCGGGUUAAGCCGGGAACUUUAAGGAUACUGCCAGUGACAAACUGGAGGAAGGCGGGGACGACGUCAAGUCAUCAUGGCCCUUACGACCAGGGCUACACACGUGCUACAAUGGUCGGUACAAAGGGUUGCUACCUAGCGAUAGGAUGCUAAUCUCAAAAAGCCGAUCGUAGUCCGGAUUGGAGUCUGCAACUCGACUCCAUGAAGUCGGAAUCGCUAGUAAUCGCGGAUCAGAAUGCCGCGGUGAAUACGUUCCCGGGCCUUGUACACACCGCCCGUCACACCAUGGGAAUUUGUUGCACCAGAAGUAGGUAGUCUAACCGCAAGGAGGACGCUUACUCAU